UUAAUUUCUUACCUUUUCAUAGAUGCAAAUUUGAUUUUGAGCAAGUAGAGAAGCAAUAUACGAUAGCAUACAUCAAGAAAGAGUAGAAGAAUGUUCUUUUCAGCAUAUAUAUAUAUAUAUAUAUAUAUAUAUAUAUAUAUAUAUAUAUAUACGACUAUAAUUUUUUCCUGUAAAUACACCGAUGUACUACCAUCUCAUUACAAAUUAUGUAUCAUGCCAAGGAAAAAGCAUUUUACUUUUCAGCAUAUAUACGAUCAUACGGUAGUCACACAUAUAAGCAGCACCACAAAAACAAACACACAAACAUGACACCGGGAAAAAUCAGGAACAGAGGAAUUAACACGACAAUAAGCAGUAAACAAAUAGGGUAGAAAAGUGCAGUGCUUAGAAAAGAAUGACAAGGACAAACCUUGACCAAAGGAACAGAGAAGGAGCAACCUUAGCGAUUCUAGAGCCUGCAAAAUAAAAGGAAAGGAAGGUUAGCCAAACAAGCCAGUUUGUUCAAUACCUAACACAACAACAAAUCAAAGACAACCUAGCUUUACAUGGCAGAAAUUUCAAGUAAGAGAAAAAAUAUAUAAUAUGAUAUCUAACUGUGUGAAUACAUUAGGAAAUACCACUUCCAAAUUAGAGCGCGCCAUUCCCUAAAACUCGAGGACUCAAUAUUUAGAAACUACACAUCAUGAUAGUCAGUUGUUCUACAGCAGCAAGCUAAAUAACACCUAGGUUGUGUAUUAUCUCAUCACACAAAGAAUGUAAAUCAUCACUCCAUAAGAUCAAGAUUUACUAUUUAUUCUACUUCUGCCCCCAACGCAUGAAAAUGCAGCUCCAUUUGGAAUCUGCUCUCCAGUCAAGUAUUUUCUUAAGCAAAUAGGCACAUAGCAAAAAAACAAACCAGACUCCCGCCUCCAUAUAUGCUUCACAGAUAGUUUUUUACCAAUUCUAGUUCUGCUUGAAACAUCAAGCAUAAUUGGCUACUGAUUCAUUUCUAAAAUAGAAGUGCACCAAAAAAUAACUAUUUGAAAUUACAAAUAGGGAUAGGCCAAUAGAUGACCUCUUAAUUCCAUAGGCAUCACAAAAUCCCCAAAAACUAGUACAAUUAUCAUUUUAUAAAUGUUCGCACCUUAAAGUUAACAAUCUCCUCAAAUUAGCAUACAGGGCUAACAUAAACUUAAGCAAGACUGUUCAAAUGAUCAUGGUACAUGGUGGAUUUAUCAUAAUUGAUAUUUGGCUGGAAGUGGGCUACAUUCUACAGAUAUUCUGAAGCUCAUUUUCAGUAGUCAGAUAAAUCGACCUGCUACAGCCGCCUCCAACCGCCCACCAACACCCACGACAGGCCACCAUGGACGACGCGCACCUAAUUCCACCAGGAAGCCAAUCAUGUACCAUCGCUAGUGUAUGCGCCCCUGAAGUGCACAGUGAGGCAGAUCUUCCCUUCGUGGUAUAUCUGCAUCAAUAUCCCAUCCACAACAAGAAUCACGGCCAAGAAUGAUUAUCACCC
rnacentral:lncRNA from 1 species